rnacentral:tRNA from 1 species
UUAAUUGAAGCCAAAAUUUAGAGGCAAAUUAUUGUUAAUAAUUUUAUUGAGCCCCCCCUCCAAUUGAA